GUUACUCAUCAAACAUCUUGUGCAUAUACUCCACACCAAAAUGAAGUUGUAGAACGUAAAAAUCAUCAUUUAUUAGAUGUUAUUCGUGUUCUUCUUUGUCAUAUGCAUGUUUCUAAACGUUUUUGGAGUGAUACUGUACUUAUUGCAUGCUAUCUUAUUAAUUGCAUGCAUUCUCCAUUUUGGACUAUGCAUCUCGUUUCUAUUUUUUGUUUUCCUCAUCUCUACUAUACUCAUUAUCUCUUAAGGUUUUGGGUAUGUUUGUUAUGUUCAUCCAUUUGUCUUGGUCGUGAUAAACUUGACUCUCACUUUAUAAGACGUAUUUUUCUUGGUUAUUCCAAAACACAGAAGGGGCAUCGUUGCUAUAGUCCUUCUCUGCAAUGCUACGUUGUAAGUGCAGAUAUCACUUUCGAUGAUUUUACACUUGAUUUCUUUGAUUAUAGUACGUCUUCUGAAUCUAAUUGAGAUCUCCUUAGCUUACGCAUCCCAUAUCUAUCAAUUGGUAUUUCUACGGAACCAGUCUCCUCUUCAUCUAUUACAUCAGGGUCAUCUUUCUUUAUAAGGAACCACCACCUCCUUUACAGGUUUAUACUUGAUGAUCUAAGCCACCAAUGCUCGUGGCCCGAUUCAUCACCUUGCUGUCGAUAGAUCAUGCUUUUGUCGGUUGUUCUGAUCUUGAGUCAUUGUCCAUUGCCUUCCUUAAAGGUAAACGUAUUUGUGUAACUAAAUAUCCUAUCAACCACUAUGUCAUUUUUGAUUCGUUGUCGUCUUCAUUUUCUUGUUUCACGUUGUAGCUUUCUAGUAUUUUUGUACUUAAAACCAGUGAUAGAAGCUUUAUCUAUCAUGUGUGACGAAAGGCUAUGGAAUUCGAAAUGUUAGUCUUACACAAGAAUAAGACUUGGGACCUUGAAGGUAAACGUAUUUGUGUAACUAAAUAUCCUAUCAACCACUAUGUCAUUUUUGAUUCGUUGUCGUCUUCAUUUUCUUGUUUCACGUUGUAGCUUUCUAGUAUUUUUGUACUUAAAACCAGCGAUAGAAGCUUUAUCUAUCAUGUGUGACGAAAGGCUAUGGAAUUCGAAAUGUUAGUCUUACACAAGAAUAAGACUUGGGAC
rnacentral:lncRNA from 1 species